rnacentral:rRNA from 1 species
UACGGGGGGGGCAAGCGUUGUUCGGAAUUACUGGGCGUAAAGGGCGCGUAGGCGGCUUUUCAAGUCGGGCGUGAAAUCUCCGGGCUUAACCCGGAAGGGUCGUUCGAUACUGUUGAGCUAGAGUGUGGAAGAGGCAACUAGAAUUCCGUGUGUAGCGGUGAAAUGCGUAGAUAUACGGAGGAAUACCUGAGGCGAAGGCGGGUUGCUGGGCCAACACUGACGCUGAGGCGCGAAAGCUAGGGGAGCGAACGGG